GGAUGAAGCCGGACGCGAUGUUGGGUAGUGUUGAAUCGAUCGACUAUCUGUGAUGCAUGCACUGUCAAUGGUAAACCCCUAGCUGGGUUGAAUGUGAUUCCUCGGUUCUUAGCCGGAGUCCAGCUGAGGGUUUGUCAUUGACAGAGCCUACUUCAUAGGGAUGUUUUAGGCCUGCUGUGGAGAACGCGCUGUUUGAAUCACAUCC